GCUUACGGCCAUACCACCCUGAGCACGCCCGAUCUCGUCUGAUCUCGGAAACUAAGCAGUGUCGGGCCUGGUUAGUACUUGGAUGGGAGACUGCCUAGGAAUACCAGGUGCUGUAAGCU
rnacentral:rRNA from 1 species